rnacentral:rRNA from 1 species
AAAGGUAGCGCAAUCACCUGUCCCUUAACUGAGGACUAGUAUGAACGGCUAAAUGAGGGCUCGACUGUCUCCUGGCGCCGAUCAAUGAAAUUGAACUCGCAGUACAAAUACUGUAAUAAUAACAUAAGACGAAAAGACCCUAUGGAGCUUUAAACCCCUAUAUUACCGAGAAUACAAUCAAGACUCACCCUAAUAUAUAUUUUUAGUUGGGGCAACUACGG